CCUACGUGAGGCAGCAGUGGGGAAUAUUGCGCAAUGGGCGAAAGCCUGACGCAGCGACGCCGCGUGAGGGAUGACGGUCUUCGGAUCGUAAACCUCUGUCAGCAGGGAAGAACGGUCACUGUGCUAAUCAGCAGUGAAUUGACGGUACCUGCAAAGGACGCACCGGCUAACUCCGUGCCAGCAGCCGCGGUAAUACGGAGGGUGCGAGCGUUAAUCGGAAUUACUGGGCGUAAAGCGCUCGUAGGCGGUAUGUCAAGUCAAGGGUGAAAUCCCCGCGCUCAACGUGGGAACUGACUUUGAAACUGGCAAACUGGAGUGUGUGAGAGGAUAGUGGAAGUCCAGGUGUAGGAGUGAAAUCCGUAGAUAUCUGGAGGAACAUCAGUGGCGAAGGCGACUAUCUGGCACAUAACUGACGCUGAGGAGCGAAAGCGUGGGUAGCAAACAGGAUUAGAUACCCGGGUAGUC
rnacentral:rRNA from 1 species